rnacentral:rRNA from 1 species
AAUGAUGGCAGAGAGGUCACACCCGUUCCCAUACCGAACACGGAAGUUAAGCUCUCUAGCGCCGAUGGUAGUUGGGACCUUGUCCCUGUGAGAGUAGGACGUUGCCAGGC